CCUAAGAGAAAUAAGAAACAAUGAUGAUGUGUCGAGAGUCUUUCGUUUUUCUCCUACUGUUUUCUUUUCUGCGUGCCUCCCACCCGUGAACACGCUAUUUCUAAGACGAAGCAACUUUCAAUAUUAAGGUGAAGACGCUCCCACCGUUACCCUAGGAGGAAGAAAAAGCAGUUUUCGCUCGUUCUCUGCGUGUCUCCUACCGUUCUCCCUGGUGUUUGAAGGUCAAUACUACCUCCCACUGUUCUCCCAGCGUCUUCGAAGUGGGAAGUGAUGAAAUGCUUCUAACAACCAAGCUGUAAAGAAUGAGGAUAGACACAGGAAGCUUUGGAUACAUUUUCUGAAUCCCAAUACCUUAUCACUGAAGAACUUGAUUUGAAGCUCGGAAAAGUGGAUUUCGAUAUGCUUGGCACUUGCAAAGAAAAAAGUAAGAAUUUAGCUUUAUUUGUAAAACAUUUGAAUGCAUUAUAGUACUUUUGAUGUUGUUUAUUGAUUCUGGUCGAGGAUGUUGAAUUUCCUGUAGCAACUCAUUUAUUUGAUAUUAUAAUAUACUUUUGUUUUGUUCUCUGUCACUUGUGCAAGCAAAACAUGCUUCAAGAUUUUUUUACUCAUUGUACUAUGUGAAUUGAUAUUCGUAAGAUCUGUUGUUUUAAGAACUGCAAAAAUGCAUAAUUACAUACGGUGUUUCCUUCAUAAUUCUAUAGUUGAUAACUAUAUAGUACUAACUAAUUGAAUGAAUAAUGUUCUAGUUGUAUGAGUUAAGUGUACUUUUUACUAGAGACUUUUACUUUUCCUCUUUCUCUUUAUCAGUGCGUUGAGAAGACGAAGAAGCAGAUUGUUGAAUUUGUGUUGAAGCUACAAGUGAAGAGGAUACUUUGAAUGGUGAAGAUGAAGAUGGAUUUCUGACGGCUUUUAAGAUUUAUUCUAUCAUAUACCAGACUAGUACUGUAGGUGAAGAUGCUAACUUUGUUGGUAGUGUUUAUCAGUACCAAACCAGUAAAUGUUCGUGCUUCAUGAUGGCAAGACAAGCUUGCUCUCGAGUGGCUUAACAACUGUAUAGGGAAGAAAAACUACUGCCAAUUUUUUACACUCAUGGUUGCAGCUAUGCUCUUGGAGGAAGCAAUUUUCUGUGGAUAUAUCCUCCAAGUUAGGAACCAGUUUCUCUUUGGUUCCCUUUGUUCUCGUGGUGUCCAUCUGCACCAUUGUUGCAAUGAUUGCUACCGUACCAGUUGUUCAUCUUUUCUUCUUUCAUAUCCUUCUCAUUAAAAAGGUAUUGGGAACUGAUGAAGGAUUGACCCCAACCAAGGAUGGAGGCAAAUGUUUAAGAAGACUUAGCAUGUUUAGAAAGGAAGUUCACUAAUCC